UACGAAGGGGGCUAGCGUUGCUCGGAAUUACUGGGCGUAAAGCGCACGUAGGCGGCUUUCUAAGUCGGAGGUGAAAUCCUGGAGCUCAACUCCAGAACUGCCUUCGAUACUGGAGAGCUUGAGUCCGGGAGAGGUGAGUGGAACUGCGAGUGUAGAGGUGAAAUUCGUAGAUAUUCGCAAGAACACCAGUGGCGAAGGCGGCUCACUGGCCCGGUACUGACGCUGAGGUGCGAAAGCAUGGGGAGCGAACAGG
rnacentral:rRNA from 1 species